CUAUUUUUUAUCUAUAAGUCUUGGCCAAAUUACGUGCCAGCAGUCGCGGUAAUACGUAAAAGACGAGUGUUAUUCAUCUUUAAUCGGUUUAAAGGGUACCUAGACGGAAAAUCAAGCUUAAUUAAACUAAGGACUAGUUUUCUAGAGUUUGACAUGAGAAGGUACGAACUAUCAGAGGAGAGAUAAAAUUUGUUGAUACUGGUGGGACGGACAACGGCGAAGGCAAUCUUCUACUAAAAACUGACGUUGAGGGACGAAGCCUUGGGGAGCGAGAAGGAUUAGAUACCCUAGUAGUCCUUGGAGAAAAUUAUGAGUGCCAUAGACUAAAGUGAAAAAGAAGUUCUUUUAAAAGAACUUUGUAUCUGAGCCUUAAUUGGAUACAAAGGUCUCGAGUAGCAGUUUAUAAAUGAAAGUGUAAGCAUUCCACCUCAUGACUAAAGCGGCAACGCCCAAAUUGAAAUCAUUAGACCGUUUCUGAAACCAGUAGUGAAGUAUGUUAUUUAAUUCGAUAACCCGCGAAUAACCUUACCACGUUUUGAAUUUAUUAAACAAGUGUUGCACGGCUGUCUUCAGUUAAUGUCGUGAGAUUUUGGUUUGUUCCAUUAAUUAACGAAAACCCUUGUUUCAUUUUUAUAUGAAAUAGUUCACCGUUAUAUUGGAAAGAUAAAAGGGAUCAAGACAAGUCAUCAUG
rnacentral:rRNA from 1 species